UUCCUUUAAUUUGACAUUUGUUCCUCAAAACAGAUUAAAGAGAUUAAAAAAGAGAUUGAGAUUAAAGCACUGUUGACUGAAGCAUCUUCAAACGUUACUGGCUUCGACAUUGAAACCGCCUCAAUCAUUGUGAACACCACAUCACCUACAGCAGCCGCAACUACGGCUGCAGCACCAACAACAGCUGCUUCUAUAACUAAACCACCUACAGUGGUAGGUGUAACUGCAACAACA